rnacentral:rRNA from 1 species
UGGGGAAUAUUGCGCAAUGGGGGAAACCCUGACGCAGCGACGCCGUGUGAGGGAAGAAGGCCUUCGGGUCGUAAACCUCUGUCGGGAGGGAAGAACCGCCGGUUUCCGAACAGGGAGCCGGCCUGACGGUACCUCCGAAGGAAGCGCCGGCUAACUCCGUGCCAGCAGCCGCGGUAAUACGGAGGGCGCGAGCGUUAAUCGGAAUCACUGGGCGUAAAGCGCGCGUAGGCGGCCAGAUAAGUCGGGCGUGAAAGCCCUCGGCUCAACCGAGGAAUUGCGUUCGAUACUGUUUGGCUUGAGUCCUGGAGAGGGUGGCGGAAUUCCGGGUGUAGGAGUGAAAUCCGUAGAUAUCCGGAGGAACACCGGUGGCGAAGGCGGCCACCUGGACAGGUACUGACGCUGAGGUGCGAAAGCGUGGGGAGCAAACAG